UACGGGGGGGGGCAAGCGUUGUUCGGAAUUACUGGGCGUAAAGGUGCGUGAGGCGGUCGCGUAAGUUGGAUGAUGAAACUCUGGGCUUAACCCAGAGCCUGCAUUCAAAAACUGACGGGCUAGAGUUCUGGAGGGGGUAGCGGAAUUCCUGGUGUAGCGGUGAAAUGCGUAGAUAUCAGGAGGAACACCGGUGGCGAAGGCGGCUACCUGGACAGAAACUGACGCUGAGGCACGAAAGCUAGGGGAGCAAACAGG
rnacentral:rRNA from 1 species